rnacentral:rRNA from 1 species
GAUUAUGGCUCAGGAUGAACGCUAGCUACAGGCUUAACACAUGCAAGUCGAGGGGCAGCAUGAAGUUUGCUUGCAAACUUGAUGGCGACCGGCGCACGGGUGAGUAACGCGUAUCCAACUUCCCAUCAUUCAGGGAUAGCCCGCCGAAAGGCGAAUUAAUACCUGAUGGUCUCCUUUGCAGACAUCUAACGAGGAGUAAAGAUUUAUUGGUGAUGGAUGGGGAUGCGUCUGAUUAGGUAGUAGGCGGGGUAACGGCCCACCUAGCCGACGAUCAGUAGGGGUUCUGAGAGGAAGGUCCCCCACAUUGGAACUGAGACACGGUCCAAACUCCUACGGGAGGCAGCAGUGAGGAAUAUUGGUCAAUGGACGGAAGUCUGAACCAGCCAAGUAGCCGUGCAGGAAGACGGCCCUAUGGGUUGUAAACUGCUUUUAUGUGGGAAUAAAGUGGAGGACGUGUCCUCCUUUGCAUGUACCACACGAAUAAGGACCGGCUAAUUCCGUGCCAGCCGCGGC